ACGUCUCAGUUCGGAUCGGAGUCUGCAACCCGACUCCGUGAAGCUGGAUUCGCUAGUAAUCGCGCAUCAGCCAUGGCGCGGUGAAUACGUUCCCGGGCCUUGUACACACCGCCCGUCAAGCCAUGGGAGCCGGGGGUACCUGAAGUCCGUAACCGCGAGGAUCGGCCUAGGGUAAAACUGGUGACUGGGGCUAAGUCGUAACAAGGUAAC
rnacentral:rRNA from 1 species